rnacentral:rRNA from 1 species
UACGUAGGGUGCAAGCGUUGUCCGGAAUUAUUGGGCGUAAAGAGCUCGUAGGCGGUUUGUCGCGUCUGCUGUGAAAACCCGAGGCUCAACCUCGGGCCUGCAUUGGGUACGGGCAGACUAGAGUGCGGUAGGGGAGAUUGGAAUUCCUGGUGUAGCGGUGGAAUGCGCAGAUAUCAGGAGGAACACCGGUGGCGAAGGCGGGUCUCUGGGCCGAUACUGACGCUGAGGAGCGAAAGCGUGGGGAGCGAACAGG